AGCUUAGCAUGCAAGUCUCAGUACGAGCUGACCUAAAGUGAAACCGCAAAAGGCUCAGUAAACCGGUCAUAGUUUACCGGAUAUAUGCCACUUACGUGGAUAACUGUGGUAAUUCUAGAGCUAAUACAUGCAAACAAGUCCCGACCAGCGAUGGAGAGGACGCUUUUAUUGGAUCAAAACCAUUCGCCCGGCUUGUCCGGGCGUCGGCUUGAUGACUCUAGAUAACACCACAGAUCGCACGGUCACAGUACCGGUGACAUAUCCUUCAAAUGUCUGACUUAUCAGCUGUCGAUGGUAGACUCUGUGUCUACCAUGGCGCUCACGGGUGACGGGGAAUCAGGGUUCGAUUCCGGAGAGGGAGCCUGAGAAACGGCUACCACAUCCAAGGAAGGCAGCAGGCACGCAAAUUACCCACUCCCGGCACGGGGAGGUAGUGACAAAAAAUAACGAUACGGGACUCAUCCGAGGCCCCGUAAUCGGAAUGAGAACACCCUAAAUCCUUUAACGAGGAUCUAUUGGAGGGCAAGUCUGGUGCCAGCAGCCGCGGUAAUUCCGGCUCCAAUAGCGUAUAUUAAAGUUGUUGCGGUUAAAAAGCUCGUAGUUGGUUCUGCGUGCCACGCUGUCGGUUCACCGCCUGCCGGUGCAACUGGCAUGCCGUGGCAUGUCCUGUCGGUGGCGGAUAGGCUUCUCGGCGCGCCCUAUGCGGUACACACCGUGUAGGCUGCUGCGCCGCGUCGUCCUUGUACGCCGGCUCAAUCCUACCGCGGUGCUCUUUACCGAGUGUCGAGGUAGGCCGACACUGUUUACUUUGAACAAAUUAGAGUGCUUAAAGCAGGCUCUUAAAUCAGCCUGAAUAGUGGUGCAUGGAAUAAUGGAACAGGACCUUGGUUCUAUUUUGUUGGUUUUUGGAAUCCAAGGUAAUGAUCAAUAAAGGACAGGCGGGGGCAUUCGUAUUGCGACGUUAGAGGUGAAAUUCUUGGAUCGUCGCAAGACGCACUAGAGCGAAAGCAUUUGCAAGUAUGUCUUAUUGAUCAGAACGAAAGUUAGAGGUU
rnacentral:rRNA from 1 species